CAUUUGGAGUAUAAAUGUGAUGAUUCCUCCCCCCAUUUCAAUCAACUCCAUCUCACCAUCAACACUUUGAAAUACAGAUCGCGCUACACUUUUAGCCAAGAUGAAGCUAUGUGUCGCCUUUUUUGGACUUUUCCUCGUGUUUCUUGCACUUUCGUCUGAGGUGGUCCAUGGACAGACCACAAAUGGACCUGUGAACGCAACAUUAAAUAUGUCCACCAUUAUACCCACAACUACCAACCCCACAACCGCAAAUACCACCGAUAGGAAUGCGUGCUCCAGAAUCAAUGGCCACCCCUUGCUGUUGUUCGCCCUCGCCCUGGCUCCUCUGAUUCACAGUUGGUGCUUAUGAGUGCACUUGUGGCCCCCUCACUGGACAUAGAGAAUUCACUGAGUUUCUUCGAAGAUGUCUGGAAUUCAUAUUCAGUCUGUGCAGCUGCUGCGCUCACUGUCAAGUGGUUUGCAUCUUGGAAUUUUGCAUGGACUGGACAAUCGUUGGGAAGUAAUCCACUGUGCAGUCUAAUGCUUGGCUUUUUUUGUUUUUCUCCCCCAAAUGUCCAGUGAGUUUUUCUUUUAAGUAAAAGGAUGCUAGUUAAAAGAUCUGUUAAGUAAAAGUUUGUAUUUUGGAAAUCUGUGAAAGUGUUUUUUAGGUCUUGAAAAAUGUUGUAAAUUCAAUAAAUGUUCAUCUUGGAA